AGAACAUACAGUACUGCACUGUACUUGUGUGCAUGUGUGCAACGUUUGACUUUAUACAAGCUGACAGAAAUCAAGAAUAUCUCUCUAAAAGCUUAUAUCCAUCCAGAGGACAGGCACUAAUCCCAUCAUCAGGUACAAUCUGCUCCCUGCUGUGCGUGAAUAAGAUUCCACCCCAUCUGAAGACAGAAGUUAAACUCACGCUGUACAGGGCCACGCUGCGUAGGAGGAAGUAAGUGAAAUUUGAUAGCUCUCCAACUGCAAAAUAUAUCAUUGCAAGCUGUCGUUACGA
rnacentral:lncRNA from 1 species